rnacentral:sRNA from 1 species
UGUGAAUGUGCGUAUAUGUAGGUUAGAGAGAAGAAGAGAUAAAGGUGGUGACAGAAGUAUAGAGAGCACAAAAGAGUAGAGAUGCAGGUUCUCUCUCUUUCUCUCCCUCUCUUUCUUUGAAUUUGUUAUACAUAUUU